GGCAGCCUGAAAGACAAUACUAUUUGUUUACACUUUACCAAGCUGAAUUGUAUGUAAACCUCAACUUGAAUUCUUUCAUAAGGUCCCUCUCUGGCCUGACCAGAUCUGAAACCUCCACACCACAUUUGACAAUUGGUGGCAGUGCUGGGAUGUGAGUGAGUGAUGCCUUUAUGGAGUAUCGGCCAGCAGUGGUGUCCAUCAGUGUAAAGAUGACAGGAGGAAGGCAUAAGUUAAAGCCAGCUGUCAGCUCAUGAAAGAGUCAUGGCGGAAAAUAUUAUCUAUGUAAGCUAGUUGGCUAGAGUUUUGACCUGUCAAUUAGUUGGCCCUAAUAACAAUUUGGGGUUAUGCAUAGUGUAAAUGUAACGGAUGUGAAACGGCUAGCUUAGUUAGCGGUGUGCGCGAAAUAGCGUUUCAAUCGGUGACGUCACUUGCUCUGAGACCUUGAAGUAGUAGUUCCCCUUGCUCUGCAAGGGCCGCGGCUUUUGUGGAGCGAUGGGUAACGACGCUUCGUGGGUGACUGUUGUUGAUGUGUGCAGAAGGGUAUGGGCGAAGGGGCAGUUUAAAAUUAUACUGUUACAUAAAGUUAGUGGCUAGGCUGAUAUUAGCGGUCAUGACUGUUAGUGCCAUUACUAUGAUGGCGUUAUGUCGACUUUGUGACAGACGUUUCAGGUAAAGUGUUACCGAGAAUUGAAUCUGUACAUUCACUUUUUAAACCAUUGGUCGGGGUGUUACUGUGGUCAGGCGCAGGCCUACCAUUUCCACAUCAUUAACCUCAGUUCGUCUCCCUUUUAAGAGAACGACAGGCAUUUUCUGGGUGAAAAAUAAGGCUGGAAUGAAAGAACCAUCUGUCGUCUUGUCUGGACAGAAACUAUUUCAGAAGCUGCUGUACAGAUGUUCUGUAGACAUGUUUGACAGACCGAGGACCUGAGGGAAGAGUAGAGGCUCUUAAAAACUACCCAGGAACACGUGUUCAAGGAAUGACACAAAGGUGUUGGGAUUCCCAAUGGAGGGAUAGACAGACAGGCAUUCCUGACUGCAUGCCUUCCUGUGCUCUGGCUGCGGGUGAUGAGUCUAGCAGAGGAAAGCCGCCUGGGGGCAGGAGGCGGCUGGUCUUGCGGUGACAGAGGCAGCGUACCCACGAGGAUCUUCCAGACAGGUAGGCCCGGCAGGUCCAGCGAGAUGAGGUGCCUGAGG